CACUACAUAAUCAUUCAUUAUUUUUACAAUUAACCAUCUAAAGCUACCACAGUUCUUCAAUCAAAGUAUAUAUCUACAUAUAUAGAGAGUACACUUCAUAAUUUCGUCCCUUGUCUUCCGUAAAUGUAGCACGAAAAUUUGAUACCAAGUAUUGUAAGGCAACUGAUCUUUUGUAUGUAACAAGAGCAUAGAGGCAACUGAUCCACUCACCUCAAUAAUAACCAAAAUUAAGCAAGUUAGUUAACAAAUAAAAUUCCAAAUAAAUAAUGAAUGCCACUAACAUUUAUAGCCACAUGACCAUGUAAGCAAUCACACAAUAAUCUAUUAGGAGAGUAUUUGGUACCUCAUUCCAAAAAGCCUAACCAAUCUGAGCAGCAGCAAAAGGGAGCUUGCUCCCAUUGUAAUAGUACAAGUCCUUGAAGUUCACAAAAAUACCUUGUGCAGUUUCAGGUCGCAUAUAC
rnacentral:lncRNA from 1 species